rnacentral:lncRNA from 1 species
GUUUGGUAGAAUAAGUAAUGUUUUCCUACUUCUGUCCCUUCAAAACGUUGCUUCAAAGUUAUCGUAAAAAGGGGCUAGUAUUGCUUCAUCAAACGAUAUCGAUUUUAACACCACAAUAACAACUUCGUACGGAUCUUCGCUAAUGAUAUAAACACAAUAAGCUACGUACACAUGACGUAUGCAUUGCGGAACUUCGGACCAGAAAUUGUUGAUUAUUGUUUGCCAAAAAACCUAAAAAGACGUGGUGAAAUAACCAAGGAUAAACAGUUUACUAGAGUCAAAGUGAGGCUUUUUUUCGUUAAUUGUUGUAAUAUAGUUCGGGCCGUGUGUGUGUUCUUUUGCAUUGUUUCAUUCACUGUCAUCCCGGAUCCUGCUAUAGCCAACUAAACGGUAUGAGUUGUGCUAAUUGUUUAUUCGUUGAUCCCUGGUGAAUAGUUGUGUUCAUUGUUUAUUCGUUGGUCCCUGGUGGAUAGUUGUGUUCAUUGUUUAUUCGUUGGUCCCUGGUGGAUAGUUGUGUUCAUUGUUUAUUCGUUGUCCCUGGUGGAUAGUUGUGUUCAUUGUUUUAUUCGUUGGUCCCUGGUGGAUAGUUGUUUCCUUGUUUAUUCUUUGGUCCCUGGUGGAUAUGUUGUGUUCAUUGUUUAUUCGUUGGUCACUGGUGGAUAGUUCCUUGUUUAUUCGUUGGUCCUUGGUGGAAUGUUGUGUUCAUUGUUUAUUCGUUGGUCCCUGGUGAUUGUAUUGUUUUCAUUGUUUAUUUUUUGGUCCAUGGUGGAUAGUUAAGUUCAUUGUUUAUUCAUUGUUCCCUGGUAGAUAGUUGUCUCAUUGUUUAUUCGUUGGUCCCUGGUUGAUAGUUGUGUUCAUUGUUUAUUCGUUGGUCCCUUGUGGAUAGUUUUGGUCUCUUGUGGAUAGUUGAGUUCAUUGUUUAUUCGUUGGUCCCUGGUGGAUAGUUUUCUCAUUGUUUAUUCGUUGGUCCCUGGUUGAUAGUUGUGUUCAUUGUUUUAUUCGUUGGUCCCUGGUGGAUAGUUCAGUUCAUUGUUUAUUCGUUGGUCCCUGGUGGAUAGUUGUCUCAUUGUUUAUUCGUUGGUCCCUGGUGGAUAGUUGUCUCAUUGUUUAUUCGUUGGUCCCUGGUGGAUAGUUGUGUUCAUUGUUUAUUCGUUGGUCCCUGGUUGAUAGUUGUUCUCAUUGUUUAUUCGUUGGUCCCUGGUGGAUAGUUG